rnacentral:rRNA from 1 species
UACAGAGGGGGCAAGCGUUGUCCGGAAUUACUGGGCGUAAAGGGCGCGUAGGCGGCCUUCUAAGUCGAACGUGAAAUCCCCGGGCUCAACCCGGGAACUGCGUCCGAGACUGAAAGGCUCGAAUCCGGGAGAGGGAUGUGGAAUUCCAGGUGUAGCGGUGAAAUGCGUAGAUAUCUGGAGGAACAUCGGUGGCGAAGGCGGCAUCCUGGACCGGUAUUGACGCUGAGGCGCGAAAGCCAGGGGAGCAAACGGG